rnacentral:lncRNA from 1 species
CCAACAACUUGCACGUACUUCUUCAACUUAUUUGGAAUUUUGGAUGGUUGGUGAAGUUUGGCAAUAGAAAAUUUGGAGAUGGGGUGGGCAAGUUAGGAUGUUUGACGAUAGACUUAUGCACCAGAGACGGGUAAGAUGGUGUUGACCGGCUACUUUCGUGACGAAGGUGAUGGGGCUAAAGGGUUAUCCAAUUGGAUGAGUUGAGGUGAUGGGUUGUUACCAACGGCAUGGGAGUUAUCGGGCGUGCCCAUGUCGAUGACGGAGGUAUUCAGAGAUAGCUGGGCGUCG